AAAGGAGCAGCAGGUUUUCCCAGACAGCUGAAACCUUUCUGGAGCUGAGAAGGAGAAGGGUGUUUGGUGUGACUGAUAGGCUUUGUUAAAAUCAUAACACACUGAGGAAGGAUUCUCAGCAAGGGCAUAGGAGUACUCUGGGCUCCCAGAGAGGACAUUGUGUGCCAGCUCCAAAA